UACAGAGGUCUCAAGCGUUGUUCGGAUUCAUUGGGCGUAAAGGGUGCGUAGGCGGCCGAUUAAGUCAGAUGUGAAAUACCAGGGCUCAACCUUGGGGGUGCAUUUGAAACUGGUUGGCUUGAGUGCAGGAGAGGAAAGUGGAAUUCCUAGUGUAGCGGUGAAAUGCGUAGAGAUUAGGAGGAACACCAGUGGCGAAGGCGACUUUCUGGACUGUAACUGACGCUGAGGCACGAAAGCGUGGGGAGCGAACAGG
rnacentral:rRNA from 1 species